rnacentral:rRNA from 1 species
CAGUAGCCGCGGGAAUACGGAGGGGGCUAGCGUUGUUCGGAAUAACUUGGCGUAAAGGGCGCGUAGGCGGUUCGUACAGUUGGAUGUGAAAUUCCUGGGCUUAGCCUGGGGGCUGCAUUCAAUACGUGCGGGCUUGAGUGUGGAAGAGGGUUGUGGAAUUCCCAGUGUAGAGGUGAAAUUCGUAGAUAUUGGGAAGAACACCGGUGGCGAAGGCGGCAACCUGGUCCAUAACUGACGCUGAGGCGCGAAAGCGUGGGGAGCAAACAGGAUUAGAUACCCGGGUAGUCCUGUCUCUUAUACA